rnacentral:misc_RNA from 1 species
GGAAGUAAAAGUCGCAACAAGGUUUCCGUAGGUGAACCUGCGGAAGGAUCAUUAUUGUGUAACCGAGGUGCGAGGGCUGUCGCUGACCCGAAAGGUCGUGCACGCCCGAGUGCCCUCACACACAUCCAUCUCACCCCUAUGUGCACCACCGCGUGGGUCCCCCUUUGGCUAGUUCGGAGGGGGGCUUACGUUUUCACACAAACUUUGUAUGCAGUGUAGAAUGUAUUUUUUGUUUUUGCGAUCACGCAAUCAAUACAACUUUCAACAACGGAUCUCUUGGCUCUC